CUUGCGGCCAUAUCUCAUUGAAAGACCGGUUCUCGCACGAUCGCCGAAGUUAAGCAAAGUCGAGCCUGGUUAGUACCUAGAUGGAUAACCACUUAGGAAUAUCAGAUACCG